rnacentral:rRNA from 1 species
GGGUUGUGAGGUUAAGCGACUAAGCGUACACGGUGGAUGCCCUGGCAGUCAGAGGCGAUGAAGGACGUGCUAAUCUGCGAUAAGCGUCGGUGAGGUGAUAUGAACCGUUAUAACCGGCGAUUUCCGAAUGGGGAAACCCAGUGUGUUUCGACACACUAUCAUUAACUGAAUCCAUAGGUUAAUGAGGCGAACCGGGGGAACUGAAACAUCUAAGUACCCCGAGGAAAAGAAAUCAACCGAGAUUCCCCCAGUAGCGGCGAGCGAACGGGGAGGAGCCCAGAGCCUGAAUCAGUGUGUGUGUUAGUGGAAGCGUCUGGAAAGGCGCGCGAUACAGGGUGACAGCCCCGUACACAAAAAUGCACAUGCUGUGAGCUCGAUGAGUAGGGCGGGACACGUGGUAUCCUGUCUGAAUAUGGGGGGACCAUCCUCCAAGGCUAAAUACUCCUGACUGACCGAUAGUGAACCAGUACCGUGAGGGAAAGGCGAAAAGAACCCCGGCGAGGGGAGUGAAAAAGAACCUGAAACCGUGUACGUACAAGCAGUGGGAGCCUCUUAAUGGGGUGACUGCGUACCUUUUGUAUAAUGGGUCAGCGACUUAUAUUCUGUAGCAAGGUUAACCGAAUAGGGGAGCCGAAGGGAAACCGAGUCUUAACUGGGCGUUAAGUUGCAGGGUAUAGACCCGAAACCCGGUGAUCUAGCCAUGGGCAGGUUGAAGGUUGGGUAACACUAACUGGAGGACCGAACCGACUAAUGUUGAAAAAUUAGCGGAUGACUUGUGGCUGGGGGUGAAAGGCCAAUCAAACCGGGAGAUAGCUGGUUCUCCCCGAAAGCUAUUUAGGUAGCGCCUCGUGAAUUCAUCUCCGGGGGUAGAGCACUGUUUCGGCAAGGGGGUCAUCCCGACUUACCAACCCGAUGCAAACUGCGAAUACCGGAGAAUGUUAUCACGGGAGACACACGGCGGGUGCUAACGUCCGUCGUGAAGAGGGAAACAACCCAGACCGCCAGCUAAGGUCCCAAAGUCAUGGUUAAGUGGGAAACGAUGUGGGAAGGCCCAGACAGCCAGGAUGUUGGCUUAGAAGCAGCCAUCAUUUAAAGAAAGCGUAAUAGCUCACUGGUCGAGUCGGCCUGCGCGGAAGAUGUAACGGGGCUAAACCAUGCACCGAAGCUGCGGCAGCGACACUAUGUGUUGUUGGGUAGGGGAGCGUUCUGUAAGCCUGUGAAGGUAGCCUGUGAGGGUUGCUGGAGGUAUCAGAAGUGCGAAUGCUGACAUAAGUAACGAUAAAGCGGGUGAAAAGCCCGCUCGCCGGAAGACCAAGGGUUCCUGUCCAACGUUAAUCGGGGCAGGGUGAGUCGACCCCUAAGGCGAGGCCGAAAGGCGUAGUCGAUGGGAAACAGGUUAAUAUUCCUGUACUUGGUGUUACUGCGAAGGGGGGACGGAGAAGGCUAUGUUGGCCGGGCGACGGUUGUCCCGGUUUAAGCGUGUAGGCUGGUUUUCCAGGCAAAUCCGGAAAACCAAGGCUGAGGCGUGAUGACGAGGCACUACGGUGCUGAAGCGACAAAUGCCCUGCUUCCAGGAAAAGCCUCUAAGCAUCAGGUAACAUCAAAUCGUACCCCAAACCGACACAGGUGGUCAGGUAGAGAAUACCAAGGCGCUUGAGAGAACUCGGGUGAAGGAACUAGGCAAAAUGGUGCCGUAACUUCGGGAGAAGGCACGCUGAUAUGUAGGUGAAGCGACUUGCUCGUGGAGCUGAAAUCAGUCGAAGAUACCAGCUGGCUGCAACUGUUUAUUAAAAACACAGCACUGUGCAAACACGAAAGUGGACGUAUACGGUGUGACGCCUGCCCGGUGCCGGAAGGUUAAUUGAUGGGGUUAGCGGUAACGCGAAGCUCUUGAUCGAAGCCCCGGUAAACGGCGGCCGUAACUAUAACGGUCCUAAGGUAGCGAAAUUCCUUGUCGGGUAAGUUCCGACCUGCACGAAUGGCGUAAUGAUGGCCAGGCUGUCUCCACCCGAGACUCAGUGAAAUUGAACUCGCUGUGAAGAUGCAGUGUACCCGCGGCAAGACGGAAAGACCCCGUGAACCUUUACUAUAGCUUGACACUGAACAUUGAGCCUUGAUGUGUAGGAUAGGUGGGAGGCUUUGAAGUGUGGACGCCAGUCUGCAUGGAGCCGACCUUGAAAUACCACCCUUUAAUGUUUGAUGUUCUAACGUUGGCCCGUAAUCCGGGUUGCGGACAGUGUCUGGUGGGUAGUUUGACUGGGGCGGUCUCCUCCUAAAGAGUAACGGAGGAGCACGAAGGUUGGCUAAUCCUGGUCGGACAUCAGGAGGUUAGUGCAAUGGCAUAAGCCAGCUUGACUGCGAGCGUGACGGCGCGAGCAGGUGCGAAAGCAGGUCAUAGUGAUCCGGUGGUUCUGAAUGGAAGGGCCAUCGCUCAACGGAUAAAAGGUACUCCGGGGAUAACAGGCUGAUACCGCCCAAGAGUUCAUAUCGACGGCGGUGUUUGGCACCUCGAUGUCGGCUCAUCACAUCCUGGGGCUGAAGUAGGUCCCAAGGGUAUGGCUGUUCGCCAUUUAAAGUGGUACGCGAGCUGGGUUUAGAACGUCGUGAGACAGUUCGGUCCCUAUCUGCCGUGGGCGCUGGAGAACUGAGGGGGGCUGCUCCUAGUACGAGAGGACCGGAGUGGACGCAUCACUGGUGUUCGGGUUGUCAUGCCAAUGGCACUGCCCGGUAGCUAAAUGCGGAAGAGAUAAGUGCUGAAAGCAUCUAAGCACGAAACUUGCCCCGAGAUGAGUUCUCCCUGACUCCUUGAGAGUCCUGAAGGAACGUUGAAGACGACGACGUUGAUAGGCCGGGUGUGUAAGCGCAGCGAUGCGUUGAGCUAACCGGUACUAAUGAACCGUGAGGCUUAACCUUACAACGCCGAAG